CCUGCCUCAGCCUCCCAAGUUGCUGGCAUUACAGGCCUCUCAGAUAAGCUGCCGUGGAGAAACUGGCUGUGGUGAUAACAGUUCAUGGUCCUGUCACCUGCUCUUGAGCUGUAACCCCCAAAGCAGGCUGGAGAGGUCCCUGAGUUGAAGCUCUUACCAAACCCAGGACCUGAAGAAGUUCAUCUCACGGAACAACCAAUGGCCCAGAGAUGAGUGUUGGGGAGACGGAAAGGCUUUCUUCAGCGGCCAGAGAAUGGAGAAGAGGGAGCUUUGCUCACAAAUGGAGGGGUUGCAGAUAUAGAAUACAUAGGAGAGUCGGGGACCUUUCACAAGGAAAAAUUCAUGCCCUGCUUUAAUGGAUAAAGAGCUUGGCAUGGUGAAACAUGCCUGUAAUCCCAGCAGCUCGGAAGACUGAGACGGGAGAAUCACAAGUUCAAAGCCAGCCUCGGCAA